GAGUGAAGACCAAUCGCACAGGAUGGUGGUUUGUGGGAUAACUUUAGAGGUGAUGAAGGAGAAGAGAGUCAGAGCUCAACAAAGGAUCAGAUGGUGGAACCUGGAGGAGGAAGACUGUUGUGUGAAAUUCAGUGAGCAGUUGAGACAGGCACUGGA